rnacentral:lncRNA from 1 species
CCCCCACAGACUUAAGUGAAGACCCGCAUUCCUACUUUCUAUCCCAAAUGUUGCGUUUUCUAAGACCACUCUGGCCCGCCAUACCUCCAUCCUGGGCCUAUAAAAAUCCGAGACCCUAGCAAGACAGAAACGGAAGCUGCUGGACGACGAGAUGAAAAUAUCGGCCAAAGAAGACAAGCCACCGGACAUUGAGAGGACAUCGAGGGGAGCCCCCGCUUGUCGCACGCCCUGCCACAGGGAUGAGGGAACCUCUCCAGUUUCAAUAUACAGGCUGGAGUGCAGUUGUUUGAUCUCGGCUCUCUGCAACCUCUGCCUUCCAGGUUCAAGCAAUUUUCCUGCCUC